GCCCAGAUGGCGGAAUUGGCAGACGCAAUGGACUCAAAAUCCAUCGAUCGCAAGAUCAUGGGAGUUCGACUCUCCCUCUGGGCA
rnacentral:tRNA from 1 species